UUCAGCUUUAGACAAAGAGCACCCUUCUCGCGGACAAAGCAUCCCGGCGCUGCCCGGCCCUGGCUUCGCUUCUCCGCGGCCACUUUUCUCCCCUGGAAGGUGGCGAGGGCCCUGACUCCGGACCCGCUGUCGCUCAGCCGGGCUUUUGAGACAUUUGGUCCCCGCAGCUGUCUGCAGCUGGAGGAGGAAACACGAGGGAGCGUGGGCUGGCAGGUGCCUGGGAGGGAGAGUGGGAUCUCUCGGCUCUUCUCUGACUCCUCCCGAAAAAGCAGUCCCCGGCACCAGCCAGCCCUGCUCACCGCUCGAGGACAAAGUACGGCCGGGGCCAUCGGCAUCAGAAAUGAGCAGGGCAACGUUUUGUCCCGCGUUGGGCUUCACUGCGCCGAAAGCCGGUGCUUUUCUCCUGCAGGGGAGCGGGUAUAUGCUCCAAAUAUGCCUUUGCUCUCCUACCCGCAUCUGCUCUAGGUCUGGUAAUGAAAGGAUACAGCAGCAUACGGACACGUAGAACCCCUGUUGAAGACUUAGUAAAAUCCUCCACACUGCAACCGUUUGCAUUGUGGGGGCAGAGCAGCAGGGAAAAGGAGAUUUUGAGUCAUCUGUGUUUCACGGGAGUCCAGCGCUGCUGCCCUUGCACUGGGAGCAGCAGAGUUGGACCAAAGCAGAGCGAACAGUCCCCACAGCUCUACUCUUCCAGGCUCUCCCAGAUACAAGACCCUACCUUCCUACACCACAAACUAGGAUGGCAGUCACUGGGUGACACACCUUCGGAGCCCACCACCUAAGCUGCCGGAGAAUCAAAUUCCAUCACAGCAGCCUCCAGAGAGCUCGCUAGGAAAGGCUGACUUCCUUGGCUGGUUCAUGCAAAAGCACAGGGAGCUGCACCCCUCCUGCACACUCCUUGCUGGCAGAACAAGAUGCCACAUCCCGCGUGUCACCGUCACGCAAGCGAUUUUCCCUGACGCCAGGGCACUCUGUUUUUUUCCAGGAUCGGAGCUGAUUUGCAAAGUGAAUAGGUUUUUAUCUGAUAAAUAGAUAGAGCUUCGAAUUCGAAGGCAUCCUUCCCUGAAGGCAGCUAGCAUUCUGUGAGACUCCACCAGGGACCACAAACACAGGCAGUGGCUCUGGCAGCGCUGGGGAAUGAAGCAAAACACUUCUCACCAGCACAACCACUUGUUCAGUUGCAGUGAGGAUGCCUCGAUGCAGAUGAGGAACCUGCAGCCACAUCAAUGAAAUGCAAGUAGCGGCUGGAGCCUUGUCUGUGCUAAGGCUCCUGCCAGCACAGCUGUACCACUGACAGCAGUGGAAUAUUUUGCUCAAGUUCUCUAGAGGAAUCAAAGCCUGUAUUUUCUGUCUCUGGCUCUCCCUUGUUCUGUUGCUCUUCAGUCAUUAAAAGAAAAGUCAGCCACACAAA